rnacentral:piRNA from 1 species
UAAGUAUGAUGGUCGGCAGCGGUAAACCU